AUUGAACGCUGGCGGCAGGCCUAACACAUGCAAGUCGAACGAGUGGCGGACGGGUGAGUAAUGUCUGGGAAACUGCCCGAUGGAGGGGGAUAACUACUGGAAACGGUAGCUAAUACCGCAUACCAUCGGAUGUGCCCAGAUGGGAUUAGCUCGUAGGUGGGGUAACGGCUCAACUAGGCGACGAUCCCUAGCUGGUCUGAGAGGAUGACCAGCGAAGCUGGACCUGAGACACGGUCCAGGCCCCUACGGUAGGCAGCAGUGGGGAAUAUUGCACAAUGGGCGCAAGCCUGAUGCAGCCAUGCCGCGUGUAUGAAGAAGGCCUUCGGGUUGUAAAGUACUUGCAGCGAGGAGGCGUGACUCGCAGAAGAAGCACCGGCGAACUCCGUGCCAGCAGCCGCGGUAAUU
rnacentral:rRNA from 1 species